UUGAAAGGGAAACGAUUGAAGUCAGUCGUACCAGCGGGAAAUCAACCUUUCGAGUGGGGGUUUUGGAGUUUUGAAGAGUGUCAAAACCUUUGAGAUUUCAAAAUUUUCGCUCUUUUGGUGUACUUUCUCGUGGGUAGGUUAACAUCGAUUUUGAUCAUCAUAAAAAGAUUGGAGGAAUGUAGCUUCGAUCUUGUAUUGAAGUGUUAUAGCCUUUGGUAAAUGUGAUGAUUAGGAUCGAGGAUUGCAACGAAUACCCUUUUGGGCUAUCCGCCUGAUCUCUGAUACGUGGCCUUGGUAUCGAAAGCUUGCUCAUGGUAUUAAGGUAUUACGGUCAAAAGGUUAGAACGGAUUACAUUCGUUAAGGAUGUUGACGUA
rnacentral:rRNA from 1 species